AGAGUUUGAUCAUGGCUCAGGACGAACGCUGGCGGCAUGCCUAAUACAUGCAAGUCGAGCGAACAGAUGAAGUGCUUGCACUUCUGACGUUAGCGGCGAACGGGUGAGUAACACGUAAGGAAUCUACCUAUAAGCGGGGGAUAACAUUCGGAAACGGGUGCUAAUACCGCAUAAUAUCUUCUUCCGCAUGGAAGAAGAUUGAAAGACGGCUCUGCUGUCACCUAUAGAUGACCUUGCGGUGCAUUAGUUAGUUGGUGGGGUAAUGGCCUACCAAGACGAUGAUGCAUAGCCGACCUGAGAGGGUGAUCGGCCACAUUGGGACUGAGACACGGCCCAAACUCCUACGGGAGGCAGCAGUAGGGAAUCUUCCGCAAUGGGCGAAAGCCUGACGGAGCAAUGCCGCGUGAGUGAAGAAGGCCUUCGGGUCGUAAAACUCUGUUAUAAGAGAAGAACAAAUUGUAGAGUAACUGCUACAGUCUUGACGGUAUCUUAUCAGAAAGCCACGGCUAACUACGUGCCAGCAGCCGCGGUAAUACGUAGGUGGCAAGCGUUGUCCGGAUUUAUUGGGCGUAAAGGGAGCGCAGGUGGUUUCUUAAGUCUGAUGUGAAAGCCCACGGCUUAACCGUGGAGGGUCAUUGGAAACUGGGAAACUUGAGUACAGAAGAGGAAUGUGGAACUCCAUGUGUAGCGGUGGAAUGCGUAGAUAUAUGGAAGAACACCAGUGGCGAAGGCGACAUUCUGGUCUGUUACUGACACUGAGGCUCGAAAGCGUGGGGAGCAAACAGGAUUAGAUACCCUGGUAGUCCACGCCGUAAACGAUGAGUGCUAGGUGUUGGGGGGGUUUCCGCCCUUCAGUGCCGCAGUUAACGCAUUAAGCACUCCGCCUGGGGAGUACGACCGCAAGGUUGAAACUCAAUGAAUUGACGG
rnacentral:rRNA from 1 species